rnacentral:rRNA from 1 species
GACGAACGCUGGCGGCGUGCUUAACACAUGCAAGUCGAACGAAGUGGCGAACGGGUGAGUAACGCGUAAUCAACCUGCCCUUCAGAGGGGGACAAAAGUUGGAAACGACUGCUAAUACCGCAUACGGAAGAAGGGGAUUUCGUCUGAUUAGCUGGUUGGAGGGGUAACGGCCCACCAAGGCGAUGAUAAGUAGGCGGUCUGAGAGGAUGAACGGCCACAAUGGGACUGAGGCACGGCCCAGACUCCUACGGGAGGCAGCAGUGGGGAAGCUUCCGAAAUGGACGAAAGUCUGACGGGGCAACGCCGCGGGAGGGAUGACGGCUUUCGGGUUGUAAAGCUCUGUUAAUCGGGACGCGGUACCGGAAUAGAAAGCCACGGCUAACUACGUGCCAGCAGCCGCGGUAAUUC